rnacentral:rRNA from 1 species
UACGUAGGGGGCGAGCGUUAUCCGGAUUUACUGGGCGUAAAGCGCGUUAAGGCGGUUGGCAAAGUUGGUUGUGAAAUCUCAGGGCUCAACCCUGAAAUUGCGACCAAUACUGGUCGACUAGAGUGCAAGAGAGGAAGGUGGAAUUCCCGGUGUAGUAGUGAAAUGCGUAGAUAUCGGGAGGAACACCAGUGGCGAAGGCGGCCUUCUGGCUUGUAGCUGACGCUGUAGCGCGAAAGCGUGGGGAGCGAACCGG